UUCUCCAAGGGGUGGGGUUCAUUGAGACUUGGGGGUUCUCCAAGGGGUGGGGUUCAUUGAGACUUGGGGGUUCUCCAAGGGUUGGAGUUCAUCAAGAGCUGGGGGUUCUCCAAGGGUUGGGGUUCUCCAAGGGGUGGGAUUCAUCAGUGGUCCACCAGAAUUUGGGGGUUCAGCAAGGGUUGGGGGUCUCCAAGAAUUGGGGGUUCUCCAAGGGGUGGGGUUCAUCAGGAGCUGGGGGUUCUCUGAGGGGUGGCAUUCUCCAAGGGAUGGGGUUCAUCAGUGGAAGGGGUUCAUCAAAAGCUGAGGGUUGUCCAAGGGUUGAGGUUCAUCAAUGGAAGAGGUUAAUCAAGACUUGGGGGUUCUCCAAGGGGUGGGUUUCAUCAGGAGCUGGGGGUUCUCCAAGAAUUGGGGGUUCUCCAAGGGUUGGGGUUCAUCAAGACUUGGGGUUUCUCCAAAUGUUUGGGGUUCAUCAAUGGAAGGGGUUCAUCAGGACUUGGGGGUUCUCUAAGGGGUGGGGUUCAUCAAUGGUCCACCAGAAUUUGGGGGUUCAGCAAGAGUUGGGGUUCAUCAAGACUUGGGGGUUCUCCAAGGGUUGAAGUUCAUCAGUGGAAGGGGUUCAUCAAAAGUUGAGGGUUGUCCAAGGGUUGGGGUUCAUCAGUGGAAGUGGUUAAUCAAGACUUGGGGGUUCUCCAAGGGUUGGGGUUCUCCAAGGGGUGGGAUUCAUCAGUGGUCCACCAGAAUUUGGGGGUUCAGCAAGGGUUGGGGGUCUCCAAGAAUUGGGGGUUCUCCAAGGGUUGGAGUUCAUCAGUGGAAGGGGUUCAUCAAAAGCUGAGGGUUGUCCAAGGGUUGAGGUUCAUCGAUGGAAGAGGUUAAUCAAGACUUGGGGGUUCAGCAAGGGGUGGGUUUCAUCAGGAGCUGGGGGUUCUCCAAGGGUUGGGGUUCUCCAAGGGUUGGGGUUCAUCAAUGGUCCACCAGAAUUUGGGGGUUCAGCAAGGGUUGAGGUUCUCCAAGAAUUGGGGGUUCUCCAAGACUUCAUCAAGACUUGGGGUUUCUCCAAAUGUUUGGGGUUCAUCAAUGGAAGGGGUUCAUCAAGAGUUGAGGGUUGUCCAAGGGUUGAGGCUCAUCAAUGGAAGGGGUUCAUCAAAAGUUGAAGGUUCUCCACAGGUUGAGGUUCAUCAAUGGUCCACCAGAAUUUGGGGGUUCUCCAAAUGUUGGGGUUCAUCAAUGGAAGGGCUUCAUCAAUAGUCCACCAGAAUUUGGAGGUUCAGGAAGGGUUGGGGUUCACCAAGAAUUGGGGGUUCUCCAAGGGUUGGGGUUCACCAAGGGUUGGGGUUCAUCAGUGGAAGGGGUUCUUCAUCAGGAUUUGGGGCGUCUCCAAGGGCUGGGGUUCUCCAAGGCUUGGGGUUCUCCAAGGGCUGGGGU